AGCGCCAGGCUGGGCUCUCCCAGGCCAACUUCCCCCUGGGCCCUGUGAGCCGCUCCCAAGUGGGCCAGUACAGAUGCUACGUGUGGUGCACACAACCUCUCCUCCGAGUGCUCGGCCCCCAGUGACCCCCUGGACAUCCUGAUCGCAGCUCCGGCCCCCUGCCCACCAGAAGCAGUGCCAUGUCUACAAAUCAUCAGCCUCCUGGGGCUUGGUGAGUCCUGGAGUGGAAGCGAGGAGAGGGCUAUGAUGGAAUCUCUGAGCUUCUUCACAGCACGUGACCAGAAUCCGUGGAUUGAGGGCACAUGGGAGCCUGGGUCCCACUGGGACACACCAUCUCUGAUGUGGUUUUCCUUCAGGAUUCUGUCUGGGCCCAGAGGAUCUGGGAACAUGUGGGUGAGUCCUCUUCAUUCCCGGGCUACUGUGUUGGCCAAACGUGAUGGACUUCACCUGCAGCCAUGGCACAGCGGCAGUGGAGUUGGGGCAGGUGCAGGUGACAGUGACGAGCCCAUGGUUCAGGUUUCUGGAUAUACAGGGAGAGACACAUACCUUGUGGAUCUCAGUUUCUUACUUUUCCCCGGAGAUUCAACCUAGCUGAUUCCUCAGGAUAAGCCCAGCUCUGUAUUCACAUAAAGGAGGCUAGGAUUUUAAACAGACCCCACAGAGCCCACCAAGGACCAGGACCCCACACCCAUCUCCAACCUGUUCUUGACAAGGGAUCCACAGCACAUCCCCCUGGAAAGAGACAAGCACAUCUCCCUCAGGAAAGAGACAGGGCAGCAGGCAGGGACCACCUGGAGCUCGAGCCACAUUCUGAUGUAGAACUUACGAAAGAUCAAAGUUCGUAUUUCACCUUAGUUUUGAAUCAAGUGAAUAUUGAUCUUCCUCUUGGAUAAUUUUUUGUCGUGAUAUAAAAUUGUGUUUUGAGACAAACUUUGUUGAAUAUUUUAUCAACACUCGAAGUAAAAUGGAAGUCUCUGGAAGACCUGCCACAUCCAGGCUGGCGUGGGCUGCGUCCCUGUCACCCCACCAGGGAGCCCCGGGCAUCAGGGACCUCUGCUUUGAGGGAUGAACCUUGGAAAAAUGAAAACAAAAAAGCCCCCAAGAACAACUGGAGACAGGGGGCGGGUGGCUCCACAUGCCUCUCUCUAAGCUGUGCCUCCUCCCCCAGGCGACCGCCUCCCCGUCAGCCUGGCUGAGCCCUGUGGUUCUCCUAGGAGGACAUGUGACUCUUUCCUGUCAUCCCCAUCUUCAGUUCGUCAUAGUCAAACUAUUCACAAGAGUUAGGCUGUGUCCCUGAGUUCCAGAUUGGCCUUUGGAGCAACUUCACCAUCAGCUUUGUGACCACAGCACACGCAGGGCCGACAGAUGUUCCAGAUCUUACACUCAUAACCUCUCUGUGUGGUCAGCUCACAGCAUUCCACUGGAUAUUGUGGUCACAGGUGGCAGAUGUCCACCCCAGCCCAUGCUCCUCCUGUGUCCAGACAGCCCUUUCCAGAGUCUGCACCCAGUGGAUACCAACAGCCCCUGCAGAAUUCAUCGUCAAGACCUCACCAUGGGAAGAGGGCCCACUCUGCGAAUUUAAAGAGGAUGUAUUUAAUGGAGGGAGUUAGGCGCCCAGGUGAAGGGAGAAUCAGGAAGCCAAUAAGUAAGAUGCGAUCCCAUUUGUCUACUUUGCUUUUGUUGUCUGUGCUUUUGGGGUCACCUCCAAAUUAUGAUUGUCCAGACCAAUGUCAUGGAAUUCUUUCCUCCAUACUAUAUAUAUUUAUGUUUUUAGGGUUUUUUUUGGAGACUAAGUCUCACUCUAUUGCCCAGGCUGGAGUGCAGUGGCAUGAUCUUGGCUCACUGCAACCUCCGCCUCCCAGGUUCAAGCGAUUCUCGUGCCUCAGCCUCCCAAGUAGCCAGGAUUACAGGUGCCCGCCACCACACCCAGCUAAUUUUUGUAUUUUUAGUAGAGAUGGGAUUUUGCCAUGUUGGCCAGGCUGGUCUUGAACUCCUGACCUCAAGCGAUCUGCCCACCUCGGCCUCCCAAAGUGCUGGGAUUACAGGUGUGAGCCACGGCGCCUGGCCUUCUCUAUACUUUACUUAGUAAAUGUAUACCUUUAAGCCUUACGUUUAAGACUUUAAUCCUUUCUGAGUUGAUUUUUAGAUUUGGUGCAAGAUGAGGACCGAAUUUCAUUUCAUUGUUCUGCCUGUGGAGAUUUAGUUUUCCCAACACCAUUUAUUGAAGAAAUUGUCCUUUCCUAAUUAUAUACCCUUGACAGUCUUGCCAAAGAUCAAUUAUCUAUAAAUGUGUGGAUUUAUUUCUGGGCUCUUUAUCCUGUUCCAUUCGUCUGUGUGUCUGUUUUAUGCCAUGACUAUACUUUUGUUUUGCUUUGUUUUAUUUUACUUUUUUGAGAAAUUAUAAUGGAAUACCAUUAUGUUACACAAUGAUGUCAAGGUUUAAGUAUACAGGGUGGAGUGAAUGAGUCAAACUAAUUAACAUGUUUUGAUUACUAUGGAUCUGUAGUAGAUUUUGAAGUCAAGUAGUGUGAUGACUCUAGCUUGCUUUGUUUUUGCUCAGAACUGUUUGGCUAAUUGGAGUCUUCUGCUGUAUUAUAUAAAUUUUAGAUUUUUUUUCUAGAUCUGUCAAAGAUGCCGUUGGAAUUUUGACAAGAAUUGUAUUGAAUCUGUAGACCACUUUGAGUAGUAUGGCUAUUUAAAAAAUAUCAAUUCUUCCAAUCCAA